AGUGAACGCUGGCGGCGUGCCUAAUACAUGCAAGUCGAACGGAGUGGCGCACGGGUGAGUAAUGUAUAGCUAAUCUGCCCUACACUAGAGGACAACAGUUGGUAACGGCUGCUAAUACUCUAUAGUGUAGGAUGAGGUUAUAUUGUUUCAGCUAGUUGGUGAGGUAAUGGCUCACCAAGGCUAUGACGCAUAACUGGUCUGAGAGGAUGAGCAGUCAAACGGGAACUGAGACACGGUCCGGACACCUUCGGGAGGCGGCAGUAGGGAAUAGUGCUCAAGGGGGGAAACCCUGAAGCAGCAACGCCGCGUGGAGGAUGACACUUGUCGGAGCGUAAACUCCUUUUGUUAGGGAAGCGGUACCUAACGAAUAAGCACCGGCUAACUCCGUGCCAGCAGCCGCGGUAAUUC
rnacentral:rRNA from 1 species